GCUGGAGCUUGCUCCGGCGGAUUAGUGGCGAACGGGUGAGUAACACGUGAGCAAUCUGCCCUUGACUCUGGGAUAACUGCGGGAAACUGUAGCUAAUACCGGAUACUUUCCUCGCUGGGCAUCCAGCGGGGAAGAAAGAAUUUCGGUCAAGGAUGAGCUCGCGGCCUAUCAGCUAGUUGGUGAGGUAAUGGCUCACCAAGGCGACGACGGGUAGCCGGCCUGAGAGGGUGACCGGCCACACUGGAACUGAGACACGGUCCAGACUCCUACGGGAGGCAGCAGUGGGGAAUAUUGCACAAUGGGCGAAAGCCUGAUGCAGCAACGCCGCGUGAGGGAUGAAGGCCUUCGGGUUGUAAACCUCUUUUAGCAGGGAAGAAGCGAAAGUGACGGUACCUGCAGAAAAAGCACCGGCUAACUACGUGCCA
rnacentral:rRNA from 1 species